AAUCUUCCACAAUGGGCGCAAGCCUGAUGGAGCAACGCCGCGUGUGUGAUGAAGGGUUUCGGCUCGUAAAACACUGUUAUAAGAGAAGAACGGCACUGAGAGUAACUGUUCAGUGUGUGACGGUAUCUUACCAGAAAGGAACGGCUAAAUACGUGCCAGCAGCCGCGGUAAUACGUAUGUUCCAAGCGUUAUCCGGAUUUAUUGGGCGUAAAGCGAGCGCAGACGGUUAUUUAAGUCUGAAGUGAAAGCCCUCAGCUCAACUGAGGAAUGGCUUUGGAAACUGGAUGACUUGAGUGCAGUAGAGGAAAGUGGAACUCCAUGUGUAGCGGUGAAAUGCGUAGAUAUAUGGAAGAACACCAGUGGCGAAGGCGGCUUUCUGGACUGUAACUGACGUUGAGGCUCGAAAGUGUGGGUAGCAAACAG
rnacentral:rRNA from 1 species